GACAGAGGGUGCAAACGUUGUUCGGAAUUACUGGGCGUAAAGCGUGUGUAGGCGGCCGCGCAAGCCGGAUGUGAAAGCCCCGGGCUCAACCCGGGAAUGGCAUUGGAAACUGGCUCGCUGGAGUGUGGCAGAGGGGGGUGGAAUUCCGCGUGUAGCAGUGAAAUGCGUAGAGAUGCGGAGGAACACCGAUGGCGAAGGCAGCCCCCUGGGCUAACACUGACGCUCAGGCACGAAAGCGUGGGGAGCAAACAGG
rnacentral:rRNA from 1 species